rnacentral:rRNA from 1 species
UGGGGAAUAUUGCACAAUGGGGGAAACCCUGAUGCAGCGAUGCCGCGUGGAGGAAGAAGGUUUUCGGAUUGUAAACUCCUGUCUUAAAGGAAGAAGCCAGUGACGGUACUUUAGGAGGAAGCUCCGGCUAACUACGUGCCAGCAGCCGCGGUAAUACGUAGGGAGCGAGCGUUGUCCGGAAUUACUGGGUGUAAAGGGAGCGCAGGCGGGAAGGCAAGUUGGAAGUGAAAUCCAUGGGCUCAACCCAUGAACUGCUUUCAAAACUGUUUUUCUUGAGUAGUGCAGAGGUAGGCGGAAUUCCCGGUGUAGCGGUGGAAUGCGUAGAUAUCGGGAGGAACACCAGUGGCGAAGGCGGCCUACUGGGCACCAACUGACGCUGAGGCUCGAAAGUGUGGGUAGCAAACAGGAUUAGAUACCCUGGUAGU